UCCCCCAAGAUUCUCUUCUCCUUGCUUCAAGAUAAUGGUUGAUUGUGAUGAAAAAAGCAAACCUCCUGUGCUGGAGGGGCUGAUGAACUGCUUCAAAAGCAAAAUGGGAGCAGCAAAGCAGCACAGAGAGAGGAGCUGCAGCAGCCCCUGGUCUGCAGGUGCUGCUGUGUUUCACUUGGCAGGAAAACGCUGAGUUUUUGUUGGGUUCAGCAAUCCUGGUGUCUGCACAGCUGAGAGAAAUGGCACUUCCCAGUGAGUGUGAGUGUGGCUUUGCAGCUCUGACAAGGCUCUCACCUGCCCUGGGAGGAAGCAGCAGGGCUGGAAAGCUGUGCAGUCACAAUAUGCUGACUAAGAAUAAUUUUGGAGCAAACAAGCAUACCGUCAUUGGGAAAGGAAGCUGUUUCAUUUCAAGAUGUGAAGGGAAUUUAAAAUCACAUUUGAAAUAAAAUUAACCUUUU